rnacentral:RNase_P_RNA from 1 species
GAAGUUCGCCAGACCGCCGCUGGUGCAAGCCGAAAGGCCAACGCUUGCGUUGGGUGGAAACACCGCACUGGAGGAACGUCCGGACUGCAACGGGCAGCGUAGGAGCUAACGGCUCCCCACCGCGAGGUGAGGAUCAGAGCAACAGAGACGAGUCGGGCAGGCGUGGCGCAAGCCAAACCGGCCCGGGUGAAACGGGCAAUCUCUACGCGCAGCAACACCAAGUAGGCACACGUUGACGGGGCCCCCGGAGUGUGCGGGUAGGUGGCAUCGAGCCGCUCGGGCGACCGGCGGCCCAGAUUAAUGGCGGUCACGCGGCGGGCAACCGCCGUGCACAGAAUCCGGCUUAUCGGCGAACUUCACCC